GACGAACGCUGGCGGCGUGCCUAAUACAUGCAAGUCGAACGCUUCUUUCCUCCCGAGUGCUUGCACUCAAUUGGAAAGAGGAGUGGCGGACGGGUGAGUAACACGUGGGUAACCUACCCAUCAGAGGGGGAUAACACUUGGAAACAGGUGCUAAUACCGCAUAACAGUUUAUGCCGCAUGGCAUAAGAGUGAAAGGCGCUUUCGGGUGUCGCUGAUGGAUGGACCCGCGGUGCAUUAGCUAGUUGGUGAGGUAACGGCUCACCAAGGCCACGAUGCAUAGCCGACCUGAGAGGGUGAUCGGCCACACUGGGACUGAGACACGGCCCAGACUUCUACGGGAGGCAGCAGUAGGGAAUCUUCGGCAAUGGACGAAAGUCUGACCGAGCAACGCCGCGUGAGUGAAGAAGGUUUUCGGAUCGUAAAACUCUGUUGUUAGAGAAGAACAAGGACGUUAGUAACUGAACGUCCCCUGACGGUAUCUAACCAGAAAGCCACGGCUAACUACGUG
rnacentral:rRNA from 1 species